rnacentral:lncRNA from 1 species
GGGUUUCAAGGCGUGGCCGGCCGCGCUGCGUCCGCCUUCCGGGAGCAGGAUGGGCCGAGGGAGGGAGGGACGGAGGGAGGGCGGCAGUGACGAGGGGUGCGUGGGGGAUCGUGUGCGUGGGGAAUCAGGCCUAAGAACUUGGUGAGGGAAUUGCCUGUCCGGAAGUGGCCUCCGAACACGCCGCGCCCUCCCCAGCAGUCAGCCCAAGUUCCUGCCCUCCCUCCAGCGGCCAGGCCUGGUAAAUACCGGGAUUACAGGUUAAUGUUCUGGGAAGCCGACUACGAGGCGCUUCCUCUUCUAAGAGCUGUGUUUGAGGCCGCUUCAUUUCGCCACUGGCUUGGAAAAUUCUUUCCAACAACCAGAAAUUACUCUGGUGCCCCAGAGAAACCAGCAAAGAAAGUGUAACUUCAGAAAUAAGAGUAAAAGAGGGCUGGGGUGUAGCUCAGCACUAGAGCACCUGCCUGGUAUGCACGCGAUCUCCGCAAAGGGAAGCCAAAGAACGGAAGAAAUAGGCCUCGGGUUGCACUGGCAAGAUGUGUGCCGUGUCCUUGCGCAGUCCGGGCCCUCAGUGAAAACCGCUGAUAGCAGAAUUGCCUCCCCAGCAUCUCCUGGGCAUCAGUGCUUUUCUGAAAGGCAGUGAUAGUCUUUAACCAUCAUACUGCAAAACAUGAAAAACAUUCAGAGGAAAACAUUGUGUUGGCUUAAAAUACAGCGGCACGAGGGCCGGGGAUUUAGUUUCCUCUCCUACUGCAUAAGCGCAAGGACCUGAGUUCGAGCCCCGGUACGGAAAAAAAAAAAAAAAUACAGCAGCACGAGCCAGGUGUAGUGGUGUGCACCUGUAAUGCCAGCACUCGGGGACCUGAGGCAGGGGGAUUGCAGUUCAAGCCUGGCCUGAGCAAUGCUGAAACUAAGACCUUGUCUCAAAAAGGUCUCAAAAAGAUAAAGGAACUGGAGUGUAGCUUAGUCCAAAGGCACUAGAUUCAGCCCCAAGUGCUGCAAAAUAAACAGCACAGUGCAGUCCUAUGUCUCCAGUCCAGUGACUGAUGGUGGGCUUCCCACCUCCCGCCCGGUGAUGCACCAGCAGCAAGGAGCCCUAAGGUGCAGCUCCUCAGCCCCUCACUGAACCCUCGGACAGAGCUCCAUGUGGCAAGAAGGGCCCCGCCGUGCUGUCACUGUGUGUGUGGUGACAUCCACGUGUACCCACACAUCACUUGGGGCUGUCUACCAAGUAGCAGGUCCACGCUGGGCUCCUGUCCCUGGAGGGGACACUUGUGGCCCUGCACUCGGACUGCUGUGUUCCAGGCUGCUCUGGGAAACUGCAGAGAUCAGAUGGGUCCUUGUCUGUGAGGAACCACAGCAAGCCUUACAUGUGGAUCUGAGACCGGAGGGUUGCAUUCUGGGAGCUCUUGCCCGGGGAGUGUCUGGAGCCCCGGGAUGCACUCAGCAAGUGGAAGGGUCUGAGUGGGGCCGCAGCCUCCUCCUGUGCUAAGCCAUUGUCACCGGUUGCGGACCUGGCCACUUGUGCUGGAGCUUCCAGGCUGCUCCUACAUGGAGCUGGCUGGAGCUGGACAGCAGCAGGCACGAGCCUCACCCAGACCCUGGCACAUCUCAGCUGGCUGCCUGGGCUCCCACGACACCUGCACCUAACAGGAUGCAUGCACGUUUGUCUUCCUGGGCUGACCACGAGCUGGUGUAAGAGCAAAGUGGAGAAGGCCGGCAAUCUCAUCACCCUCGCAAGGGGUGAGGUGGCCCCUGUGCCUGCCUGCUGCCCAGCUAGGAUCUCAGUGCUAACCCUCUGAUGCCUCUUUAAACUUGUGUUCUGAAAUAAUUAUGAGCCCAGUGUUGGUUUCCUAUGGCUGUGGCAGCAGAUUAGGAAAGUGAAGGCCCUGGGGACGUCACAGGUGCUCUCCAGCUCUGGAGCCCGCGUUAGGCUUAUGUCUGGAUCCCCAGCCUCCUGUGUUUGCAGGUGGGCGCUUUGGGCUGGUGAGUGGGUCAUCCGCGCACUCACCAUGGAUGAGCUCAUGCAUGCCUGAAGGUGCUGUCAGGAGUGGGGCCUGCUGGGAGGUGCGUCCUUGUCCCCCACUCCUCCCUUUUAUCUGCUUCCUGCUGCCAUGGGGUGAGCAGCUGUCCACCACCAGGCCCUUCUGCUCUAUUUGUCUUAGGAUCACCUGACCAUGGGCUGAAUCCCCAAAACUGUGAGCCAAAUUCAACCUCUCCUGUAAAUUGCAGGUGUCAGGUAUUUUGGCCCAGCAACAGGAAAGCUGGCUAAUACGGGAAAUUGUUGCCAGAGAAGUGCAGGUGUGUUAGCAGCUGCUCAAGUUCAUGUGUACAAAAGUUCUGCUUGAUGCCGGCCAAUCAGAGGGGCCCGCCUGUGCAGGGUGAGACGGUGAAGUGUGGCAAAUGGGCCCUCCAUCUCUUCAGCCCGAGCUUGGGAUAAAUCCUUUUGCCUUGUUUCCCAGAUGUAUGGGUGGACAGAUUUCCGUGGCCCUAGGAUGUGCAAAAGUCCUGGAGUGCAGCUGCUGGACAGGUUCGGGGAGUGUGGGCAGGCUCUUGGCAGAGGGGCUGUGGCGUUUGGCACCCCACAUGCAAUGAGAGAGGCACCCACGAAGGCAUGAGACCUGUAGUACGUGAGGACAGCUGCACACCUCGCAGGAGGAGGUGGCACCUGGAAGUUGCAGCUGGCACAGGAACCUACAUGGGCUCUGAGCUGGGCCCAGGCUUGACUGCUCUUCAGUGUGGGUGACUGGCAGUGAAGAGGAACAUACUGAGGACAGUGUCCUGAGCCCGUGGCCCCUGCACCACCCAGUGCGUGGGAGGUGGGUCCUGGACUCCAGGAGGGCCAGGCUGGGGCCAGGGCCACCCCCAGGAGGUUCCCAGGGACCACAGCUCCCUGCCAGGAAGAAGGUAGAGGAGAUGACAGCACUGCCCCCAGCACAGGCGAUCCACGCGGGGAGCAGGGUCUGUCCCUCAGCCCGGGACCCUCAAGUCCUCUCCCUGCUCUCCAAUCCGGGGCAAUGGAGAGCUCCGGCCCCUGCUGAGGCCCCACUCCUUCCUCUCGGCUCCUGGGCGGGGCUCUGUGUCUUGCUGUCCUGCUGUGGUUGGGGACCAGAGGUUACCAGGUGCUUCUCCAGUUCUCAGUGGCCAAGAUAAUAGUAGGAGCAGUGCUCUUCAUUUAUACAGUUUUGUCAUUGCGGUCUCACGCACAUUAUUUCACUGUCAUGCACAACCAGGAAGUGCACUGACAGGUGUUCUGUGUGGUCGCAGGCCAGGGCCUCUGGCUUCCUGAAGUACCACACAGCCUGGCAAGUUGGGGGGGGCACAGUGAGUGGGUCUUCCGAGUCCCAGCCCCAGCAGCAAGGCUCUGCUAGGUUAAUCUGGCUGCCCCUGGUGUAUCCCCGUGUUUGCUUUCUCUUGCCCCUUAAACUGCCUUAUGAAAACCAAUAAAAAGUGCUUAGGGCAAAAAUCCCUCUCAAUGUGGUUAUUUAAUCCUUGCACCUUGGCAAAUAUCACUAGGUUCCUGUUUUACAUCUUUGGAUUUUUGGACUGUUUAAAGUUAUUGGAUGAAAUUCAAGCAAACAAAGCAGUGCGAUAAAAUCAUCCACUCGCAUUGGAAAGGUUGAGUUUGCUCAUGGGAUGAAAGCUCCUCGUCGCCCCUUGUGAAUGUGUUGCUGUCCCCUGCAGCCUCCCUGCCAAGUUCUGAAAGUAACUAGGUCCCUUGAGCCAGCCUGGUGCCUCCGAUACGCAGGACUCGUCUGGUGGAGAAGGCCGUUUUAGGGCUCAGGAUCUGUACGGGUUCAGUAUAGCCCACUUUGAACAUAGUAUCAAGAAUCUGCAAACACAUCAGAGAAAAACCACAAGGGAUGAGUGUAGAAGAGACAAAAACAAGCCGGCCGUAAGGUUAAGGGAUGGGAACUGGAACAGUCGCAGGAGGACGGGGGAGUGUAGAAACACAGCAUUGCCAG